CUUUUUGACAACAUCAAAAAGAUAGUGAAACAUUAAGCACAAAGAUAAGAAUACUCAAAUAUUUCUUUUCCUUAUUGUACUCUGAUUUGCAUGUCAAAUUAUUGCAAGGAUAUGAAUCAUAUAACUCAAGGCAAUAAUAUUGGAAUCAGAUUAAUGAGCACAGAUCAGAGCCAAUUAAGAUAAUUUCAGAACAGAACACAUUAAAUGUGAUUUCAAAAAGUUUUCUAAUUUGAUACCAUAGAUAGUUUUCUAAUCAAGUGUAGGUGGA
rnacentral:lncRNA from 1 species